AUACGGAGGGUGCAAGCGUUAUUCGGAAUCACUGGGCGUAAAGGACGCGUAGGCGGGUUGGCAAGUCAGAUGUGAAAUCCUACAGCUUAACUGUAGAACUGCAUUUGAAACUGCUAACCUAGAGUAUGGGAGGGGGAGAUGGAAUUAGUGGUGUAGGGGUAAAAUCCGUAGAUAUCACUAGGAAUACCGGAAGCGAAGGCGAUCUCCUGGAACAUAACUGACGCUAAGGCGUGAAAGCGUGGGGAGCAAACAGGAUUAGAAACCCUAGUAGUCC
rnacentral:rRNA from 1 species